CCUGGUGGCUCAGAUGGUAAAGCAUCUGCCUGCAAUGCAGGAGGCUCAGGUUCAAUCCCUGGGUCAGGA
rnacentral:tRNA from 1 species